rnacentral:rRNA from 1 species
GAUGAACGCUGGCGGCGUGCCUAAUACAUGCAAGUCGAGCGAACAGACGAGGAGCGUGCCCCGCUGACGUGAGCGGCGGACGGGUGAGUAACACGUGGAUAACCGACCUAUAAGACUGGCAUAAGUACGGGAAAGCGGAGCCAACACCGGACAAUAUAUUGAACGGGAGGGUUCAUUAGUGAAAGAGGGUUCAGCUGACACUAAGAGAUGUUACCGAGCUGGAUUAGCUAGUUGGUAUGGUAACGGCUUACCAAGGCAACGAUGCGUAGCCGACCUGAGAGGAUGAUCGGCCACACUGGAACUGAGACACGGUCCAGACUCCUACGGGAGGCAGCAGUAGGGAAUCUUCCACAAUGGGCGAAAGCCUGACGCAGCCACGCCGCGUGAGUUAAGAAGGUCUUCGGAUCGUAAAGCUCUGUUAUUAGGGAAGAACAACUGUGUAAUUAUCUAUGCACGUCUUGACGGUACCUAAUCAGAAAGCCCCGGCUAACUACGUG